AUUGAACGCUGGCGGCAUGCCUUACACAUGCAAGUCGAACGGUAACAGGUCUUCGGAUGCUGACGAGUGGCGAACGGGUGAGUAAUACAUCGGAACGUGCCUAGUAGUGGGGGAUAACUACUCGAAAGAGUGGCUAAUACCGCAUGAGAUCUACGGAUGAAAGCAGGGGAUCGCAAGACCUUGUGCUACUAGAGCGGCCGAUGGCAGAUUAGGUAGUUGGUGGGAUAAAAGCUUACCAAGCCGACGAUCUGUAGCUGGUCUGGGAGGACGAUCAGCCACACUGGGACUGAGACACGGCCCAGACUCCUACGGGAGGCAGCAGUGGGGAAUUUUGGACAAUGGGCGCAAGCCUGAUCCAGCAAUGCCGCGUGCAGGAUGAAGGCCUUCGGGUUGUAAACUGCUUUUGUACGGAGCGAAAAGCCCUGGGUUAAUACCCUGGGGUCAUGACGGUACCGUAAGAAUAAGCACCGGCUAACUACGUGCCAGCCGCCGCAGUAAUAC
rnacentral:rRNA from 1 species